rnacentral:rRNA from 1 species
CGCCAGACUCCUACGGGAGGCAGCAGUGGGGAAUAUUGCACAAUGGGGGAAACCCUGAUGCAGCGACGCCGCGUGAGCGAUGAAGUAUUUCGGUAUGUAAAGCUCUAUCAGCAGGGAAGAAGAUGACGGUACCUGACUAAGAAGCCCCGGCUAACUACGUGCCAGCAGCCGCGGUAAUACGUAGGGGGCAAGCGUUAUCCGGAUUUACUGGGUGUAAAGGGAGCGUAGACGGCGAUGCAAGCCAGAUGUGAAAGCCCGGGGCUCAACCCCGGGACUGCAUUUGGAACUGUGUGGCUGGAGUGUCGGAGAGGCAGGCGGAAUUCCUAGUGUAGCGGUGAAAUGCGUAGAUAUUAGGAGGAACACCAGUGGCGAAGGCGGCCUGCUGGACGAUGACUGACGUUGAGGCUCGAAAGCGUGGGGAGCAAACAGGAUUAGAUACCCCAGUAUU